GGAGAUUUUCAGUUUCAUUUUGCACAUCUUCAUGGACUGUGGAUCCGGGACAUGUUCAGAGGUCCCUUGGCUCUGUGCUCUCCAGAAGGUCCGACACUCCUAUUCCCUCCUGUGGGGCAGCAAGGCCUCUUCUCUUUGCGUUCCUCUCCCUGCACUGGGGAGAUUUGGUUGCAACUCCAGGGAUGCCUGGGAAAUCGUGGGAACAGGGAAGAAAUUCGUUUACUUUCUGAAGAGAAUGAGUAGAUUUCUCUUACUGUCUCAUCAAACAAGCCAGCCUGGGAUUUGCUGCCUAAGGGUGCUGUGGCGAGCAAAAAGGAAUGACUAA
rnacentral:lncRNA from 1 species